UACGAAUGGUGCAAGCGUUAAUCGGAAUUACUGGGCGUAAAGCGCGCGUAGGUGGUUCGUUAAGUUGGAUGUGAAAGCCCCGGGCUCAACCUGGGAACUGCAUCCAAAACUGGCGAGCUAGAGUAUGGCAGAGGGUGGUGGAAUUUCCUGUGUAGCGGUGACGGCGGAGAUAUAGGAAGGAACACCAGUGGCGAAGGCGACCACAUGGGCUAAUACGGAAACGGAGGUGCGCACUCGUGGGGAGCCCACAGGCGGCGAUCACAGUGGAGUCC
rnacentral:rRNA from 1 species